UACGUAGGGGGCGAGCGUUGUCCGGAAUUACUGGGCGUAAAGGGUGCGUAGGUGGUUUCUUAAGUCAGAGGUGAAAGGCUACGGCUCAACCGUAGUAAGCCUUUGAAACUGGGAAACUUGAGUGCAGGAGAGGAGAGUGGAAUUCCUAGUGUAGCGGUGAAAUGCGUAGAUAUUGGGAGGAACACCAGUGGCGAAGGCGGGUGACUGGACUGCAACUGACGCUGAGGCGCGAAAGUGUGGGGAGCAAACAGGAUUAGAUACCCGGGUAGUCCCUGAGCGGG
rnacentral:rRNA from 1 species